UACGAAGGGGGCUAGCGUUGUUCGGAAUUACUGGGCGUAAAGGGUUUGUAGGCGUUUGAACAAGUCAGAUGUGAAAGCCUGGGGCUUAACCUCAGAAUUGCAUUUGAAACUGUUCAGCUAGAGAGUGUUAGAGGAAAGUGGAAUUCCUAGUGUAGGAGUGAAAUCCGUAGAGAUUAGGAGGAAUAUCGAUGGCGAAGGCAGCUUUCUGGGACAUUUCUGACGCUGAGAAACGAAAGCGUGGGUAGCAAACAGG
rnacentral:rRNA from 1 species